UUUUUCUGUGUAUAUUGAAUAGAAGCUUAAUUAGGCCUACUAAAAACCAAUAAAUGAAUUCUCAGCAAUGUUUUGAAAAAAUAUGAAUCAAUUAUGGACAUAGUUGGUUCAUUUUCAUCGAAUAUACUAGCUGAACUAAUGCAGCUUGUCUUCGAGGCUGAAGAUUAAUGAGGAGUGCAGUAUUUCACAUGGCUACUUGGCAGCAGCUACGACCUACACAUCAGGCAGCAGUUCUAAUCAUUGAUUCUCUAAGAGACGAAUUAAAAGGCCAACAAGACAUACACAGCAUUAACAGAAAUAAUGACAAGUUCAAAACGUGAAUAGUUUGUAAACAUUUAUUUGACUUCAAUCAUACUUAUACAGAACAAAAUACAAGACUCAAAGCAUGAAAAAUUUAAACAAAAUAAAAUUGUCAGAAUCCAAACAUAGAAAGAAUAAUUUGAUUUAAUGCAAUCCAAAAUGAUAAAUAUACAACUGAUUUGAUUGGAAAGUACAAUGAUACACUAUGAUUGAUUUGAUUGGAUAGUAUAUUCCUAAUUUUUUUUUUUAAAAAGGGAAAAAUUACUGUGUUUAUGAUUAUGCACAUAUCAUGAUUAUACAAAAAAAAAAAAGCGUAAGCAUGUAUUUAACCGUUAUCUUCAUAAUCAUUGUAAAAUAGUGAAAGUUAUUUUUCAAAAGACUUUUUACAUGGUGUUUGUUAUUAUUUCAUACAAAAAAAUAACAAUAGAAUAGUAAAUGUGUUUUUCACAAAAAUUAAGACUAUAUAUUUUGAUACUACUAAUAUUAUUCAUUAGUUCAUAAUAUCAAACAGUUAUAACAGAUAAUACCAUAGUAAACAAAGGUUAUUAAAUAUUACUCAUUGUGAUCAUACCAAUGAAGUUUUGCACUCGUUGCUAUGAUUUCAUUUAUUACUUUUUAAUAAAAAUAACACUUUGGAUUUUUUUGUUUUUAAAUUGUGCCUACUGUUAGUUUGGCUAGAUAAGUUUAAAUCUUGCUCCAGUGUCACUAUUAGAAUGCUGUUGCAAUCAAAUGUUCAGUAACUGAAGAAGACAAUGACAACACCAGAUCAUGUCUCUUCCACUUGAUGGAGGCCCUGAUGGAAACACUUCUUGGUGCUUUUAUCAGAGACCUCUGGCUCAAUCUCAAAAAGGUCAAAGUAAGCAGCUUCAACCCAAAAACAAAAAACGUAGCUGACAAAAUAAAACCAAUCUAUGAACGGCUAACUUCUGACAGUCUACUGGAAAGGUGUUUGCAGGGAAUGACCCAAAAUGCUAAUGGGCAAGAUUGUCAAAAAAAAAAUUUUUUGGGGGGAAAAAGGGGCGGAGAUAGGUACAGCUUUCACUCUCUGAAUUUCAUUUUGAGAGCUUGGGUUUCAAAUGAUUUUGUACUAAUAUUGGUUGCUCCAUUAGCCUUGUGUCUAUUCAGAAAGGUAAAAAAAAGAUAACAAACGUAUUGUAGUCUUUAGAGGCUAAAAGAAGGAGAAAAGAAAUUGCAACAGCUCAAAUAAUUGCUCAGCAGGGAUACAUGAGGUUAGAAGAUGGUAGAAGAGAGAGUGGGAAAUUUUGGGGGCAAAGGAAGGUUUUUUUUUUUUAUUUAAAUUACUAUACAACUCUCAAGUAACUUGUAUUUUUGAAUAGUUCACUUAUUUAUUUAGUUCAUUUAUUGAUUUAUAGAUCUGAUAUUGUUACUAAUAUUUAAAAAUAAAAAAAAUAUCAGUUAAUCUUUAAGUAAUUUAGAACAGCAAAAUUUUUAAAAUCUGGUUAAAGAUAAUAUUAAACUGCAUAUUACUAUGAUUGGUAAAUAUUUGUAGGCUACCAAGAAGAUUAACUUUUUAUUUGAUUUUUUUAACCCUGUUCCCGCCCUAACAUCAUGGUAUCAAUAGUUAUUUUAUGUUUGACUGCAAUAAUAGUUUCUUUUACUUUGUUAUGUGAAAGCAAAUGACAUGUUUUUAAAAACUAAUGUCACUUGUCAAAUUUAGCUGUUGUAAAAAAAUAAAUAUUUUGUAUUCUAUUGCAUUCUUUUUUGCGUUUUGUUUUUCAAUUGUGUGAAUUUAAUGAGUUUGUAAGUUUAAAGUAACUCUAAAACUACCUGUCAAGAUACAAACUUUGACAUCUUCACAACAUAUAUAUCUCUCUACAAUUCCAUCAAAUGGUAUUUUAUAUUUAGAAAAACAAAAAAGAUUUGGGGAAAAGAAUGAAAAUAUAAAUAAUAGUAUAAAUACAACAAAUAGAUUUCAUUUCUGAACCCAUUUCACUUACAUUCUAUCACAUUGCAAAGUAAAGUAUAAAUAACAUAACAUUACUAAGGAUAUUUUAAUCCCAACAAACAUUUUUGUAGAAAACUAUAUUUAACAUAAACCUUCAAAAUAUGCCAAUUUGAUACUAUCUUUAGCAUCAAAAUACAUUUUUUUCCAAAAAAUACAAAAAUAGUGAUUUUAAAAAAGCAGUUUAAAAAAAAUAGACAUUUUGACUAUUUGUUCCCCCUUCAAGAAGUUGUUUCCCAAUAGUUCUUUGAUAUAUACUGUACAUUUGGAAGUAAAUAAUUUUUAAAAAAUGUUGGUCACAAUGUUUCUUCAAAUUAAUAUACAAAUUAAUUUCUAGAAGUGUCAAAAGAUUGCAAACCUUAGCAGCUUUGUGUCACUGGAUGUGACCCAACUACUAAAUGGUAGUAGCAGUAGCAUUGUUUGAAUCCAAGUUGUGAAAGAAAACUAAAUGCUAAUCAAGACAGAGUUACAAACAACAAGUUGUCAGGAUAAACUACUAAGUGUAGCGACAUUUCAAUUCAUUCACACACAAAAGAUGAGACCCCAAAAAAUUGUUUAACAAAAGCAGAAAUUGAACAUGAAAUUAAAAAAAACAACAAAAAAAAAAAAACACCAAUGAUCUAUUCCAUUAUUAUUAAGAUGAGGUGUUUUCUAACUACUUUUUCUACAUACAUUAUUGUUUUCUUUCAAAUGAACAUUUGCACUAACUAACAAACUCCUUCCCACCCCAUACAAGUCACAUCAAGACCAAAAAUAAAUAACUAAAUAAAAAGAUAUGAGCAAGUAGAACUUUGUUUUCCUUUCAUGUUGCAAACAAAAAGAGAAUGAUGGUAAGAGAAACAAAAUAAAACAAAAAAGCUUCUUAUAGAGGAUGAUCAAAUAAUCCCAAUGAAAAUGUUAAUUCAAACCAAAAAAAAUAAUAAUUAGAUAGCAAGUGUAUCUCAUGCUGGAAUCAUGACUCAUUUGAAUAUCAAUACUACUUUACGCAGCAAUACUUGAAACAAAUGUCUCUAAUACCAGUCAUUGACUGCAGAGUGAAGAAACUAUUUCUACAAGGAAAUAUAUUUUCAUUAUAAUAGGUGUACUGUUUAUUAGUUUGUUAGCAAUAUUUUGGUUAUUUGUUCAAUUAGAGUGACAAUCUAAGUUAGUAGAUGGGGCUGUCAGAGUCAGCAACAGUCUGAGUCGGUAGAUGGUAGUCUGUCGAGCCCUAUUUUUUCCAAUAACAACUUUGAGUCAGUAGAUGGUAGUCUUGAGUCUGUGACAGUGGAGAGGGACAGAGUAGAUGCUAGCGACAGUGGCAAAGAUCAAUUAGCAAGACGAUGAGUGACAUACAGCGAUUGGCAUCAGAUGACAUAGACUCCUUUUAAUGAGGUCUGCGGUGCUGGGCCCAGUGCAUGGAGGAGGGAGUAGCCGUGGUGGUCAUAUUGGCAUGGGCGACUAAUUGCUGUUAUGCUGAUUAUGUCCUUUAUUAUUUAUCUCUAGUAUCAUAACAGAUACAAUAGUUGAAUUAUAAACAUGGAGCAGAAAUUAGAAGUUGAAUAAAAAGAAGUGAAAGAAAGAAUGGAAUUAAAAAACAAAAGCUACAAGUGAAAGAAAAGGAAUUAAAGCUCAUUUGGAUUCACUUAACCAAUGAGGGCAAUAAUUAUCAGCAGAUUUUUAAAAACAAUAAUAGUGUCAAGAAACAUUCUUUAAAGCACCUUCAUGCAAAAACCUGGAUUAUUUUCUUGCGUAGGUCGAAAUACCAGGAGGGCGGUGGCUGGAGG